GAUGAACGCUGGCGGCGUGCCUAAUACAUGCAAGUCGAGCGAACAGACGAGGAGCUUGCUCCUCUGACGUUAGCGGCGGACGGGUGAGUAACACGUGGAUAACCUACCUAUAAGACUGGGAUAACUUCGGGAAACCGGAGCUAAUACCGGAUAAUAUAUUGAACCGCAUGGUUCAAUAGUGAAAGACGGUUUUGCUGUCACUUAUAGAUGGAUCCGCGCCGCAUUAGCUAGUUGGUAAGGUAACGGCUUACCAAGGCAACGAUGCGUAGCCGACCUGAGAGGGGGAUCGGCCACACUGGAACUGGGACACGGUCCAGUCUCCUACGGGGGGCAGCAGUAGGGAAUCUUCCGCAAUGGGCGAAAGCCUGACGGAGCAACGCCGCGUGAAGGAUGAAGGUCUUCGGAUCGUAAAACUCUGUUAUUAGGGAAGAACAAAUGUGUAAGUAACUAUGCACGUCUUGACGGUACCUAAUCAGAAAGCCACGGCUAACUACGUG
rnacentral:rRNA from 1 species